UGAUGGAGGGGGAUAACUACUGGAAACGGUGGCUAAUACCGCAUAACGUCGCAAGACCAAAGAGGGGGACCUUCGGGCCUCUUGCCAUCAGAUGUGCCCAGAUGGGAUUAGCUUGUUGGUGAGGUAACGGCUCACCAAGGCGACGAUCCCUAGCUGGUCUGAGAGGAUGACCAGCCACACUGGAACUGAGACACGGUCCAGACUCCUACGGGAGGCAGCAGUGGGGAAUAUUGCACAAUGG
rnacentral:rRNA from 2 species